AUUUUAUAUUGGAGUUGAUUCGAGAUGGUUGGCACCUCAUUUGAAAGUCAUUAAGACUCUUUGGUUGUCUGGCUCUUUGUUGCGAAUUUUGUUUGU